CACUUCAAAACUGUGGGUCCUUAAUACGUAUAUUGUCCUUAGAAAUUCAACGCUGAGAGAAGUGUAGAACUAGAGCUCCCAUCUCUGACAUCCUCCUCUCUUCCAAAAAAAUCAUAAGUAAAAAUCACCCAUCAUUCCACCCUACAUAGAUAGCUGCUGAUCAGAUUUGCAUAAUAAUUAUUUGUGUAUAUAUUUGAGUGAAAUGGCAUACAUUAUACAUAAUGUUUUAUAGUAUUUUUAUGUAAUAGUAUAUCUGUCAGUCUUUAUAGUGUGGG
rnacentral:lncRNA from 1 species